rnacentral:snoRNA from 1 species
GCAGACUCACUCUGCGUCUGGCUGCAGUCCCAGGCCAGGUGCUUUUUCUGUCUGCCAGAGAAACCGUUCAGGCUGUUCCGAGCUCCUUGGCCUGUCCAAGGCAGCACAGCUGCCUGGGGGCACAUGA